AGAAACCUUAUCUUGGGGUUGCGCUACUGUUCAAUGAACGAAUAGUGAGAACAGUACUGCAAGGGGAGGUGGAUUAGAUGUUCCCCUUUUCCAUUUUCUUAAUCUGAAAUAGUUUCUGGGAGU